rnacentral:misc_RNA from 1 species
AGGUCUAUGCAGCUUUAGUUUUCACAUGCAUUUCUACUGUUGUAGUUUUCCAUGUUUGAGGGUUAUACUUUUUGUUGCUUUCUUCUUUCUAGUUUGAUGAUUGAUUGUGUAUAAUUGUGACUUUAGAGAUUCUACAUUUAUAUUUAUUGCUGUCUUCUAUUUAUCAUGCAUAAUUCUGCAGUCAUUUUGAUAUAUAGUGUUUACUUAUCAACUUAGGCCAUUAUCCCUUAUUUAUACUUAUACCAGCGUUUAUACGUUUAUACUAGUGUUUAGAGGUUG